UACGAAGGGGGCUAGCGUUGCUCGGAAUUACUGGGCGUAAAGCGCACGUAGGCGGACCGAUAAGUCGGGGGUGAAAUCCUGGAGCUCAACUCCAGAACUGCCUUCGAAACUGCCGGUCUUGAGUUCGGGAGAGGUGAGUGGAACUGCGAGUGUAGAGGUGAAAUUCGUAGAUAUUCGCAAGAACACCAGUGGCGAAGGCGGCUCACUGGCCCGAUACUGACGCUGAGGUGCGAAAGCGUGGGGAGCGAACAGG
rnacentral:rRNA from 1 species